rnacentral:lncRNA from 1 species
CCUCUGGCGCAGUCCUCACGCAAACGGUCUCUGCCUGCCCUGGAGGCAGGCUCCUGCCCACCCGGCUAGGGCAGAAAUCCUUCCUCUUUCAUUCUCGAUUUCAGAGCCCAGAGGUUUUGCGUUAAGACCCAGUUGCCAGAGCCACCUUCUGGCCUCAUCAUCUUGGAUUUCGUUUAAAAAGAAAUAUCAGUUUUACUGACUGUUGCAAACCACAGCAUAUAGACCUAGUACAAAGCUUUUCCUUUUCUGCAGGAGCCAUACCUACAUUUUGUACACAUAGAACAGCGAGUUGGCAACAGAUCUGCUGUGAAAGUUGUGAUCCUUUAAAGGACAUAUAAUCUGCUGUGCUUUUCAAAACUCCAAAAUAGACUUAUCCCCUUGAACUUCUUUGCAAGAGUUAAAAGACAAAGUGGCAGAAGAAUGCUUUCGGACUUCCAAAUUAAAAGUUGUCGCAUGAAGUUGGUAUCCGAGCUGAGAGAUGGUGGCUAUGUAUAAAUACAGAAGACUAUUUUGGCUUU